CCUACGGGGGACUGCAGUGAGGAAUAUUGGUCAAUGGGCGCGAGCCUGAACCAGCCAAGUCGCGUGAGGGAAGACGGUCCUAUGGAUUGUAAACCUCUUUUGUCGGGGAGCAAAAGACGCCACGCGUGGCGUUCCGAGAGUACCCGAAGAAAAAGCAUCGGCUAACUCCGUGCCAGCAGCCGCGGUAAUACGGAGGAUGCGAGCGUUAUCCGGAUUUAUUGGGUUUAAAGGGUGCGCAGGCGGAAGAUCAAGUCAGCGGUAAAAUUGAGAGGCUCAACCUCUUCGAGCCGUUGAAACUGGUUUUCUUGAGUUCACAACAGGCAGGCGGAAUUCGUGGUGUAGCGGUGAAAUGCAUAGAUAUCACGAGGAACCCCGAUUGCGAAGGCAGCCUGCCGGGGUGCGACUGACGCUGAGGCUCGAAGGUGCGGGUAUCAAACAGGAUUAGAUACCCUUGUAGUC
rnacentral:rRNA from 1 species